UACGUAGGAUGCAAGCGUUGUCCGGAUUUAUUGGGUUUAAAGGGUGCGUAGGCGGCCUAUUAAGUUAGUGGUGAAAACGUUCGGCUUAACCGGAUACCCGCCAUUGAUACUGAUAGACUUGAGUGCGACAGAGGGUGUUGGAAUGUGUGGUGUAGCGGUGAAAUGCUUAGAUAUCACGCAGAACACCAAUUGCGAAGGCAGAUGCCUAUGUCGUAACUGACGCUGAGGCACGAAAGCGUCGGGAGCACUCAGG
rnacentral:rRNA from 1 species